GUAUGAUUUGCUCUUUCUCGCUAUUGAACUUAGCAUAUUUGCUUUUUAUGAUAAAGUGCCUGUAGCUAGAGUACAGCAUUGACAUUAUUUCUCCUUACAUACAAACCAAUUUUACUCAACUGCUGUUUAAUUUAAGCGUUUGAAUAUUUCCACUGAAAUAAUCCUAAUUAGUGACCAGCACCGUUUUACUACCACUGUCCUCGUGUGAUGAUGUGUUUUGUUGUUGUAAGUCAGAUCCAUUUAGUGAGGUCCAAGUAUAGCAGAAGAUUCUUUAUCUAGAUGUCUGAGAUCUCAUGAAUUUGCUGGAAGAAAGGCUUGCCGAAGGAGCGGAGUCGUGCCCUAGCUAGCCCUGGACAUUCACAUACAUAAGUAGUGGAAAAGACUUUCCUUCACCCCUUCCGCUUGACAACUUCUGCAUAUGAGUUUGAAGGGUAGGUUGAGCCUAGCUGCAUGAUCCUCUACUUUCCAAUGGCCUGUAAGGGUUGCAGUGAUGCGUGAAAUGUUUGGCCGAUAACAUCCUAACAGAUCAUUUGUCCUUUGGAUUUUGUACCACGGCCAUGUGUUUUUUGUUGUAAUACAUGCAGUUAAUUGCUUUCAUCUUCCAUCGGCUAAAGCAUGAUAGUGUGAAGCAAUGGAUGCAUUUAAUGUGUUGAGUGGGGUGGAGGCUGCCACCGCCUCUACUAUGUCUAGUGUCGAACCUUUUCUUGCUAGCUCAUCCGCUAUCUCAUGACCCCGUAUGAUCCUAUGACCGAGAACCCAUAUAAGAGUAAUUUCAAGCCAAUGACUAAGUAAUUCUAGUUCCUCUCUACACUGAAAGACUAGCUUGGAUGAAAUAGAGUUGGAGUCUAAGGCCUUGAUAGCUGCUUGACUGUCUGAUGGCUAUCCUUGCGAAGCUUCGAAAGCUCUUACUUUCUCAUCUAAGUCUUUACUUGACGUUAUGGUUACUGGACGUUACAUGUUGAAGUUUAGACUGGGUUACUCUACAGAAUGUAUGACAGUUUGUUCUUCUAGGGUUUCUAUAUGGGAUCGGUUUCUUCAAGUUUCAGAUUGAUAUCGAAGAGAAUCUAACUAUGAUCCGAAAAGAAGUUCUUGUCGGAUACCCUUCAAUUUGUGACUAUUUUGGGAGUUAUUGUUUGUGCAUAAAGUAACGUUUAAGACCUUUUCCGAGCCUGGAAAAUUUUCCGAGCUCGGAAAAUUAAAGGUUGGGGUGGUCGUUACAUUGCAUAUGUCGAGGUUGGUAUUUAAUAAGAAUUCAAAAAGUGACUCACCUCUUUCAUUCGUCUCCGAACUGCUCGUUUAUAGCGUUUGCAUCAGCGCAGUUUGUCCGUGUUGUUUAGUGUUGACAGGAACAGAUCCACUUUAUCUGGCGGCGCCGGUUUAUCAUGUGGCAUGUAAACUGAUGCCAGGUAUUUUCCCGAUUUCUGCAACUCCACCUUCACCACAGUAAGAUCAGGAGUACUAAAGUAGAAUAUGUUGAUGUUGUAGUUGUCUUGGAACCCUUUAAUCUGAUUGUCCCUUACCCGGGGUUCCUGUAUGAAUCCGAGGUCGAUGUCCCCCUCCCUGAGGAAAACAUCCAAGUUCACUGUGGUACAUUUCGAGUACUGCAGAUUCACCUGUAUGGCUUUAGGCAUCGGGUUGGUUGUCGUCUUCAGCUAGGUAGAGCUUUUCUAGCUGUAUGCUGCUGACGACCUAAUCUGGGUCUUCCUCAUUUUCAGUGCUGUCUGCUUUGAAAAUGUUUAGUUUGGCUUUUCUCAGACCAAACCGCAUUUUAUUGUCAGAUUUUCUGAGUACUGGCAGGCACUCAUUUUUAAUCUGUAGAACGAAUGACAUGCUGCUCUUUUGCGGCGUUUUUGCCUUCACGAUUGCCCAGACGUCCAUCGGCACCGCAGGGUGGUGUGACUUAAGGUACUUUAGCACAUCUGUUUCGCUUAAGUCCAUCACUGGUAGCCAAAUGCGAGCGUGAGGAGGGCAAGGUAUGUCCCUGGCCGGAAAGAACCUUAAGCCUUCCACUGAGCUGCUGAUCUCAGCAGCUCACUUCUCUAGGACAACCCUUGACCAGUCGUCGUCGCACUUGAUUACCCUACAGUCUCUAAGUACUCCUGCAGAAUCGAAGGAAGGGAAAGCUCCGCCCUGUGCUCCAACUAGCCCUGUGCUUGUCUAGCACGAGCUUGGACAGUUUGGCCUCCACCUGCCCCCUUCUUCUGCAGGAGUACUUUGCCGCUGUUAUUGGUUUCCUCAAUCAGUGCAUAGACGAGGUUAUCCUUAACCACCUCACGGAAUGGGUUUUGUUUUGUCGUUUCUUCGAUGCUUUUGGACACCUUAGUUCUCUUUAGUGCCUCAUCGAUCACGUCCUGUGACCUGUUUCUCUUCGUCGCAUCCCCCUUUUUGUUGUUGUCUGUUUUAAGUUUCUUGGAUAGGAAGCAUUUAUACUCCUUGACCACCUGUUGGUAUUUUACUUUAUCGGCCGCGUCACGCUCGUCAGUCGCUCCAGCGAGUUCAUUCUUUCUGAGAAUGAACCUCGCCUUCGUUUAGCGAGACUUCAUAAUGGCACCCUCCGAUUUAGGUUUUUUUGCGGCCUGACUCUCUUUCUGAGUGCUGUCUACCGCCUUUUACGAUGUUGUUGGUAGGUCUGUUUGUUGUUGUUGCUUGCUUGGUAAGGGAGUGCUGUGGCUGGCCCUUCCCUUACUCUUUACUGACUCCGUCGUAUCUUUUAUAUUAGUUGUCAUCAUCUGUUUCUUACGGUUGCUUCACCUGACUGCGUCAAGCUCCAAAAACUACGAGUUUCAAGGGGAAGUAAUGGGGUCCCCCGCGCCAGCGCCCCUUACCGCGGUAAGGUAACAGUUACUCUCGAAGGCGGCCAGAUAUUCGAGACGAAAGCUCCGUUCGCGAUGCACAUGUUUCAAUUCUCUGCACCAUUCAGCCCUCGGCACGAUUCCAAGAACACCUCGACUUGGGAAUGUGUUGGUACGGUACUCUCCGUAUAGAUGAUUGGACAAACAGCACACGCCCCGUUUCGCGAAUGGGUUGUUCGCCAAUCCCUAUAGGGAGCUUCCCUCUUAGUUCAUGGUGGGUUAAACUCCUAAAUAGAAUUUAACCUCCAUUUAAGCCUCGUCCCCGCGGCAAGGAGACCAACGUGAAAGGGAGUAUAUAUGAGUAUAUUUUUGUUAACUUUUGGUGGAAAAUAUGUCUGUGGUGAACCACGCGCGCAAAACAAGUACACCUCAAGAUUCCAUGCGUUCCCGCCAUUCAGACCUCUCUAUAUGUAACGUUCUCUGAUAUUUCGCUAUCCCUAAUCCAUACAUAUAUAUGUACGUACAUAUAAGUCAGCAUACAUAUGUAUACAUAUGCCACAUAAAAAUUAUCACUAUUUGCCAAAUUCCCAAGGAAAUUCCCAAAUUCUAUAUAGGAAAGUAAGUAUUAUAUAUGUAUGUACGAACAUAUUAAUAACAUAAUUUAACGUAACGUUUGUACUAUUUGUACAGACUUUGGUAAAAUAAUUAUCAUAAAAAUAAAAUUAAAAUAAAUCGUGAAUGCAAUCAUGGAGUAAUUCAAUGAAGCAAUAAAACAUUGUAGCCACAAGCCAUGAUUCAAUUAUUAAAGGUUUGCUCAGUAAACAGCUUUCUCGUUCUCUCUUGACGAAUCGGCUCCCUUAGCAAGAAACUGUGUUACUAACUCUAAAAAUUGUAAGUAAAAGUGGAGCAAAAGUAAAAUUAGUAGAACAAACAUAAUCGUUGGCAUCAUUGCUAUUUGAUUUCUUCGUAUUCGCUGAUAUUUGAAUUUCUGAAUUCGUGAAUUUGAGUUAUUUCCGUCCUGAUUUGAGCCUUUUCUGCCAGAGUGCAGCACAACCAUUUUGCAAGUGCGUCAUACAGACACAAACUCGUUACCAACUGCCCAUCAACAACGCCACUCCUGUUUUAAAGCCCAUAUCCUAAUUGUACAUUUUGUGCUCCUUUUUUUGUCGCAUGUUGUCUGUUUUCUUUAGUUAUAUAAUAUAGUUUUAUUUUAUAUAUUUAAUAUUUAUAUAAUGAUAAAAUACAUGCCAACAAAUAAAACAACCGGGGCAUAUUAUUUGUCUCUGCUGGA